AGUGAACGCUGGCGGUAGGCCUAACACAUGCAAGUCGAACGGCAGCACAGUAAGAGCUUGCUCUUACGGGUGGCGAGUGGCGGACGGGUGAGGAAUACAUCGGAAUCUACUUUUUCGUGGGGGAUAACGUAGGGAAACUUACGCUAAUACCGCAUACGACCUACGGGUUAAAGCAGGGGAUCUUCGGACCUUGCGCGAUUGAAUGAGCCGAUGUCGGAUUAGCUAGUUGGCGGGGUAAAGGCCCACCAAGGCGACGAUCCGUAGCUGGUCUGAGAGGAUGAUCAGCCACACUGGAACUGAGACACGGUCCAGACUCCUACGGGAGGCAGCAGUGGGGAAUAUUGGACAAUGGGCGCAAGCCUGAUCCAGCCAUACCGCGUGGGUGAAGAAGGCCUUCGGGUUGUAAAGCCCUUUUGUUGGGAAAGAAAAGCGGCAGGUUAAUACCCCGCUGUUCUGACGGUACCCAAAGAAUAAGCACCGGCUAACUUCGUG
rnacentral:rRNA from 1 species